UCUAUUAGAAAGAUUAUGCGUGUAGAAUAUCCCAACAUUCACCACGAAUUUGAUAUUUGGCAUGUAGUCAAAGGACUUUCCAAAAAGUUGUGCUCCAUGUCAAGAUACAAGGACAAUCGAGAGCUGCAGCCAUGGACACGAAGUAUUUGCAACCAUUUAUGGUAUUGCUCUGCAACUUGUGGAGGCGACCCUGACGAACUGAUCGAAAAUUGGAAGUCCAUACUUUAACACAUUACAGGUGUGCACAGUUGGUUUAAAGAAGGAAAGCAGAAAAAAAUGUGUACACAAUGAUCUCAGUCCAGAACAGCAACGCAGAAAAAAAUGGCUUGGAAAAGACUCACGUGCCUUCCACACACUGCAGAGUCUUGUCCUGGACAAAGGACUUGAAAAGGAUUUGAGGCAAAUGGCUCUUUUCAAACACACUGGACAACUGGAGGUGUUUCAUUCUGUCCUACUGAAAUACUGCCCAAAGAACCUGCAUUUUCAUUAUGCGUCCAUGGUUGCACGAACACAACUCGCUAUCCUUGACCAUAAUGAAAAUGUAGGUCGUCAGCAAGCAACAACCACUACUGGUGCAUCUCGGUACAAAGUGGUUUUCCCCAAACAUACCAAAGAAUGGGUAGCCAAAACGAUUUUUACACAAACCACUCAAAAAUUCAGAGAGUCUCUGGUUGAGAAAGUUGUACAGCGGCGGCUGGACACCAGCGUUGUUUACAAGGAAAGUUCUUGUCGUUUGACUCAUCAUCACCCAUUGCCACAGAACAUAGCCCUAACACCAAGGCCUGACAAGCAAGAAGUAAUUGCAAAGCGUUUAUCACGAUUUGGACACUAAUUUGCUUUAAAAAUGUUGAAGUCUGUUAUAUACAUUUUUUUUUUUUUUUUAGUUUUUCUGAUUUUUUUCUUAUUGAGGUAAA